GUGUCAGCCGCCGCGGUAAUACAGAGGUGGCAAGCGUUGUUCGGAAUUACUGGGCGUAAAGGGCGCGUAGGCGGCCUUGUAAGUCUCGUGUGAAAGCCCUCGGCUUAACUGAGGAUCUGCACGGGAUACUGCGAGGCUUGAGUUCGGGAGAGGAAAGCGGAAUUCCGGGUGUAGCGGUGAAAUGCGUAGAUAUCCGGAGGAACACCAGUGGCGAAGGCGGCUUUCUGGACCGACACUGACGCUGAGGCGCGAAAGCUAGGGGAGCAAACGGGAUUAGAUACCCCGGUAGUCCUAGCUGUAAACGAUGAUCGCUGGGUGUGGGGGGUUUUUACUCCCCCCGUGCCGAAGCUAACGCAUUAAGCGAUCCGCCUGGGGAGUACGGUCGCAAGGCUGAA
rnacentral:rRNA from 1 species